AGCAGCGUGGCUUAGUGGAAAGAGCCUGGACUUGGGAGUCAGAGGUUGUGGGUUCUACUCCCUCCUCUGCCU
rnacentral:tRNA from 1 species